ACUUUACGCGAAAUUUUAGAAAAAGCAUAUUGUUUUCUUGCUGAUUUUUUUAAGUUUUAAUGUGCCACAAUCCUGCAGCGGCUGGAGAACCAAGGCAUUCAGGGCUUUCCCUGGGAGGUCGGAGGUGGCAAAACUGGUGGUCCACGGAUGCGUCUAUCGGCACAGCAACACAAUUUCUACGAUUAGUAACAGCAGCAGUGAAUACGGAUGCAAUAUGGCAACUUACAGUCUUUGGAGAAAUAUUCCGCGCCCAGUACCCCGUAACAGCUACGACCCAGAAGUCGGUCACAGGUAGACUUUGGUGUUUUUUUUUAUUAUAGUGAGUGUUUAGUGAAUGGUUAGUCUCAUGUGAAUAAGUGCCUAAUAUCAUAAUGUGCAUGCAGAAUAAACAAUUUUACGUAAAUUUA